GUGGCGAUCCGAUGUCGUAAAUAUGUGAAAAUAGAAAUUUCAUCGUCUGAUGUAGUCAUGGUAAUUAAAUAGGUCUGCAAAAAAAAAUCCACCUAGUUUCAGAUUUGUUACGUCCCCCAUCAAAUCGGUCAAUUUUAAUUCAACCUUAUUUUUAACAUGAAACGCGGUUGAUCGGCAUCAUGUGAGACCCUAUUUUUCCCUAUUUUUGAACCUGAAGCUCAUAUAUAUGUGAUUUAGGAACCUAUGAAAAAACUUUGUUAAAUUGACCUUCCGGUGGUUAGGCUCCCCUUAGGAGCGCCUAAGCGUAAUUAGGGUUGACCGCUUUUAUCGAGGCUUAAACGUUACCGGAAGUUUGUGAUUUUUCAAACCUAGCCAAAUUUCAUUAUUCCUAUCACAUCCUAUUUCACAAGAUUUUCGAAAAUUUUGCUUCCUCUGUAUAGUUAGUUUAUAAUGAUGUACACAUGCAUAAAACCUAUUAAACAAGUUUUACCGCUUUAGUAGACACGUAGCGAUCCGAUGUCGUAAAUAUGUGAAAAUAAAAAUUCAACCAUCUGAUGUAGUCAUGGUAAUUAAAUAGGUCUAUAGAAAAAAAAUCCAACCAGUUUCGGAUUUAUUACGUCCCUCAUCGAAUCAGUCAACCUUAAUUCAACCUCAUUUUUAACACGAAACACGGUUGUUCGGCAUCGUGUGAGACCCUAUUUUUCCCCCAUUUUUGAACUUGAAGCUCGUAUAUAUGUGAUUUAGGAACCUACGAAAAAAAACUUUAUUAAAUUGACCUUCCAAUGGAUAGGCUCCCCUCAGGAGCGCCUAAACAUAAUUAGGGUUGACCGCUUUUAUCGGGUUCUAAACUUUACCGGAAGUUUGUGAUUUUUCAAACCUAGCCAAAUUUCAUUAUUCCUAUCACAUCCUAUUUCACAGGAUUUUCACAAAAUUUGCUUCCUUAGUAUAGUUGGUUCACAAUGAUGUACACUUGCAUAUAACCUACAUGAAAACUAGGGCUAGGCACGGGACGGGACGGGUUGGGAUUUGGUGAAUCCCGUCCCAUCCCGAAAAUAAAAGAACGGGACGGGACGGGACGGGACGGGACGGGACGGGACGGGACGGGACGGGACGGGAAUGCGUUUUUAAAAAUCGGUCCCGUACGUCCCGAUCCCAGUCGGGACCGGGACGGGAUCGGGAUCCCGACAAAUUAACCUUAAAACAACAUUAAUGAAAUUAAUGGAAAAAAAAUAUCCAAAAACACAAAAAAAAAAAANAAANAUAUAAUAAAUAAUAAUANACANANAUAGUAGNAUAUGNUAAUAAUANCACCUUAAAUUAAUAACAAUCCACCAUAAAUUAAACCUACCAACAAACAACUAAAAUAAAUCAAACUAACACACAAGACAAAAAAAAAAAAAGAACAUGAAUGAAAUUAAAAGUAUUAUUUUAGACCAAAUUAAACGUGGUUGAGUGCAUUGUAACACCAUGCAAC
rnacentral:lncRNA from 1 species